UACGGGGGGGGCAAGCGUUGUUCGGAAUUACUGGGCGUAAAGGGCUCGUAGGUGGCCAACUAAGUCAGACGUGAAAUCCCUCGGCUUAACCGGGGAACUGCGUCUGAUACUGGAUGGCUUGAGUUUGGGAGAGGGACGCGGAAUUCCUGGUGUAGCGGUGAAAUGCGCAGAUAUCAGGAGGAACACCGGUGGCGAAGGCGGGUCUCUGGGCCGAUACUGACGCUGAGGAGCGAAAGCGUGGGGAGCAAACAGG
rnacentral:rRNA from 1 species